GAAUUCACUAGUGAUUCAGGCCUAACACAUGCAAGUCGAGCGGUAGAGAGAAGCUUGCUUCUCUUGAGAACGGCGGACAGGUGAGUAAUGCCUAGGAAUCUGCCUGGUAGUGGGGGAUAACGUUCGGAAACGGACGCUAAUACCGCAUACGUCCUACGGGAGAAAGCAGGGGACCUUCGGGCCUUGCGCUAUCAGAUGAGCCUAGGUCGGAUUAGCUAGUUGGUGAGGUAAUGGCUCACCAAGGCUACGAUCCGUAACUGGUCUGAGAGGAUGAUCAGUCACACUGG
rnacentral:rRNA from 1 species